UGUGGGUAUAUUAUUCCCAUCCACAACCCCCAAACCAACCAGGAAAGGCUCUCAAACAACUACCAAGAACCAAAAGCUCACCUUUCCUUGGUCAUUAAUUUCCUCUUGCCACCUUUCCUCGAGUCAUUUUUCUUGCCCUGCUCCAUCAAAAAAUCAAAAUGGAGACUAAACAAGAUCAACAAGAAUUUGUUUUCCGAUCAAAACUUCCUGAUAUAUACAUCCCUAAUCACCUCCCACUGCAUUCAUAUUGCUUUGAAAACAUACCCGAAUUCUGCAACCGUCCUUGCCUGAUCAAUGGCACCACAGGGGACAUCUACACCUAUGCUGAUGUUGAACUCAUUGCACGUAAAGUUGCUGCCGGCCUCGACAAAAUUGGCAUCCAACAAGGUGAAGUUAUCAUGCUCUUGCUCCAAAAUUCACCUGAAUUUGCAUUUGCACUUCUCGGAGCAUCCUACCGGGGGGCCAUGAGUACAACUGCCAAUCCAUUUUACAAGCCGGCUGAAAUCGAAAAGCAAGCAAGAGCAUCCAAAGCCAAGCUGAUCAUCACACAAUCCUGUUAUGUUGAGAAAGUGAUGGACUUUGCUAAGGAAAAUAAUGUCAAAGUCAUGUGCACUGAUGCCCCUCCGGAGGGUUGUUUGCAUUUUUCGGAGCUGUCGUCGGCUGACGAAAAAGUCAUUCCAGCGGUGAAAAUCAAUCCAAACGAUGCCGUUGCACUGCCUUAUUCAUCAGGCACCACUGGUCUACCAAAAGGGGUCAUGCUGACGCACAAAGGGUUGGUCACAAGUGUUGCUCAGCAGGUUGAUGGAGAAAAUCCCAAUCUUUAUUUUCACAAGGAAGAUGUGAUAUUGUGCGUUUUGCCUUUGUUCCACAUAUAUUCACUGAAUUCUGUGUUGCUUUGUGGGCUAAGAGUUGGUGCGGCAAUUUUGAUCAUGCAAAAGUUUGAGAUUAAUGCACUAAUGGAGCUUGUGCAAAAAUAUAAGGUGACAAUUGCUCCAUUUGUGCCACCAAUUGUUUUGGAAAUUGCCAAAAGUCCUGUGGUGGACAAGUAUGAUCUUUCAUCCAUAAGAAUGGUGAUGUCCGGCGCGGCACCCAUGGGGAAGGAGCUCGAGGACACCGUUCGAGCUAAGCUCCCAAAGGCAGUGCUCGGACAGGGAUACGGCAUGACGGAGGCAGGACUCUGCUGUCCAUGUGCUUAGCGUUUGCAAAGGAGCCAUUUGAUGUCAAAUCAGGUGCUUGCGGGACAGUUGUGAGGAAUGCUGAAAUGAAAAUUGUAGAUCCCGAAACUAAUCUCUCUCUACCCCGCAAUCAAGCUGGAGAAAUUUGCAUCAGAGGCGACCAGAUCAUGAAAGGUUACCUUAAUGAUCCGGAGGCAACUGAGAAUACAAUCGACAAAGAAGGAUGGUUGCACACAGGAGACAUAGGGUACAUUGAUGAUGAUGAUGAAAUUUUCAUAGUGGACAGAUUGAAGGAAUUAAUCAAGUAUAAAGGGUUUCAAGUGGCACCUGCAGAGCUGGAAGCCAUGCUCCUUUCUCACCCUGGUAUUUCUGAUGCAGCUGUUGUCUCCAUGAAAGAUGAGGCAGCUGGAGAAGUUCCUGUUGCUUUUGUGGUGAGAGCAAGUGGUUCCAAAAUUUCCGAGGAUGAGAUCAAACAAUUUAUCUCAAACCAGGUGAUUUUUUAUAAGCGAAUCCAUCGGGUGUUUUUCAUGGAUAAAAUUCCUAAAGCUCCAUCUGGCAAAAUAUUGAGAAAGGACCUAAGAGCUAAGCUUGCAGCUGAAGUUGCUUGCAAUUAGAGUACUGUAUUAUAUACAUAACAGUCUCUACAACAACGCUGUUAAUUUUGUAUGCGUUUUGGGAGAAAAGGAGAGAAAGUAGUGUAUGUUUCUUCUGAUCUGGUGUCAGAUCUCCUCUCAUCCUCAACUCAAGUUGAUCCUGUUUCUCUUUUUCUCUUUCUUGGGUUAUGUAUAUGAUGAUACAACAUGCUUCUAUUUUCCAAAUGACUGAAGACUAUUGGACAAGGUUUGAGCUAGACGAUUAUCGGAUAGAUGUCAUUUUGUUUUUUCUUUGAGUAUAUGUUAUUCUGUUUCUCAA